rnacentral:tRNA from 1 species
GCCCUGGUGGCACAACGGUUAAAGUGUUUGGCUGCUAACCAAAAGGUUGGUGGUUUGAACCCACCAGAGGCU